rnacentral:rRNA from 1 species
UAACCGUUAGGCCCAGCUUGCUGGGUACUCAAGUGGCGAACGGGUGAGUAACACGUGGGUGAUCUGCCCUGCACUCUGGGAUAAGCCUGGGAAACUGGGUCUAAUACCGGAUAUGACCAACUGUCGCAUGGUGGUUGGUGGAAAGCUUUUGCGGUGUGGGAUGGGCCCGCGGCCUAUCAGCUUGUUGGUGGGGUAAUGGCCUAACCAAGGCGACGACGGGUAGCCGACCUGAGAGGGUGAUCGGCCACACUGGGACUGAGACACGGCCCAGACUCCUACGGGAGGCAGCAGUGGGGAAUAUUGCACAAUGGGCGCAAGCCUGAUGCAGCGACGCCGCGUGAGGGAUGACGGCCUUCGGGUUGUAAACCUCUUUCACCAGGGACGAAGCGUGAGUGACGGUACCUGGAGAAGAAGCACCGGCCAACUACGUGCCAGCAGCCGCGGUAAUACGUAGGGUGCGAGCGUUGUCCGGAAUUACUGGGCGUAAAGAGCUCGUAAGCGGUUUGUCGCGUCCUCUGAAAAUUCUGCAA